GACGAACGCUGGCGGCGUGCCUAAUACAUGCAAGUAGAACGCUGAAGGAGGAGCUUGCUUCUCUGGAUGAGUUGCGAACGGGUGAGUAACGCGUAGGUAACCUGCCUGGUAGCGGGGGAUAACUAUUGGAAACGAUAGCUAAUACCGCAUAACAGUAGAUAUCGCAUGAUAUCUACUUGAAAGGUGCAAUUGCAUCACUACCAGAUGGACCUGCGUUGUAUUAGCUAGUUGGUGAGGUAACGGCUCACCAAGGCGACGAUAUAUAGCCGACCUGAGAGGGGGAUCGGCCACACUGGGACUGAGACACGGCCCAGACUCCUAAGGGAGGCAGCAGGAGGGAAUCUUCGGCAAUGGACGGAAGUCUGACCGAGCAACGCCGCGGGAGGGAAGAAGGUUUUCGGAUCGUAAAGCUCUGUUGUAAGAGAAGAACGAGUGUGAGAGUGGAAAGUUCACACUGUGACGGUAUCUGACCAGAAAGGGACGGCUAACUACGUG
rnacentral:rRNA from 1 species